UACGGAGGGUGCGAGCGUUUGUUCGGAAUCACUGGGCGUAAAGCGCGUGUAGGCGGCCCACUAAGUCUGAUGUGAAAGCCCGGGGCUCACCCCCCGGAAGUGCAUUGGAAACUGGUGGACUCGAGUCCCGGAGAGGAGAGUGGAAUUCCUGGUGGUAGCGGUGAAAUGCGGUAGAUAUCGAGGAGGAACACCGGUGGCGAAGGCGG
rnacentral:rRNA from 1 species